GGCGUCCAUCUUCAGACUUGCCCUCCCUGUUAACAGAAGGACAGAGAUACAGAAUCUAUCAUCUUUCGGUGUCAAAAUCGAAGAAUAAAUUUGAGUGGCCCAGCAUCCAGUUAACAGCCACAAAGAGAACUCAGUAUCAACAGCUGCCGGUCCGCGCCUCCCCUUACUCGUUCUCCACCUUGAUCAUUGCAGAGCUCUCUUCACAGUCUCAGUUUGCCGACUCUUUGUUCUGCUUCCUGUAGGUUUCCAGUGAGACCCUGCUCCAGCUUUACCAGCCCAGGGAGCUCCUUCCCUUCAGCAAACUGUCAGAUCCAGCCUUCCAGCCACCUUGUUCUGAAGUGGAUGUAGUAGGAGUUGUAGUUUCUGUUGUAAAACCAAUAG
rnacentral:lncRNA from 1 species